UACGAAGGGGGCUAGCGUUGUUCGGAAUCACUGGGCGUAAAGGGCGCGUAGGCGGCUUGAUAAGUCGGGGGUGAAAGCCUGUGGCUCAACCACAGAAUUGCCUUCGAUACUGUCGAGCUUGAGACCGGAAGAGGUAAGUGGAACUGCGAGUGUAGAGGUGAAAUUCGUAGAUAUUCGCAAGAACACCAGUGGCGAAGGCGGCUUACUGGUCCGGUUCUGACGCUGAGGCGCGAAAGCGUGGGGAGCGAACAGG
rnacentral:rRNA from 1 species